rnacentral:misc_RNA from 1 species
AACGCACCUUGCGCUCCUUGGUAUUCCGAGGAGCAUGCCUGUUUGAGUGUCUUGAAGUCAUCAACCCCUGCGGUUUUCGAACCGACGGGGCUGGAUCUGGGGGUCUGCGGCCGCGAGGUCGCUCCCCUGAAAUGCAUCGGUUGGGCCUGUGCUCGACAGGGCGUUGUAUCAUCCUCGCUCCGUUCGUCACUUUCGGCGUCCUUCCACGACCUGCCUCUGGAGUGGCGGUCAAAAGCAAACUUUGAAAUCUGACCUCAAAUCAGGUAGGACUACCCGCUGAACUUAA